GACGAACGCUGGCGGCGUGCCUAAUACAUGCAAGUUGAGCGCUGAAGGUUGGUACUUGUACCGACUGGCUGAGCAGCGAACGGGUGAGUAACGCGUGGGGAAUCUGCCUUUGAGCGGGGGACAACAUUUGGAAACGAAUGCUAAUACCGCAUAAAAACUUUAAACACAAGUUUUAAGUUUGAAAGAUGCAAUUGCAUCACUCAAAGAUGAUCCCGCGUUGUAUUAGCUAGUUGGUGAGGUAAAGGCUCACCAAGGCGAUGAUACAUAGCCGACCUGAGAGGGUGAUCGGCCACAUUGGGACUGAGACACGGCCCAAACGCCUAGGGGAGGCAGCAGUAGGGAAUCUUCGGCAAGGGACGAAAGUCUGACCGAGCAACGCCGCGUGAGUGAAGAAGGGUUUCGGAUCGUAAAACUCGGUUGGUAGGUAAGAACGUGGGUGAGAGUGGAAAGCUCAUCAAGUGACGGUAACUACCCAGAGAGGGACGGCUAACUACGUG
rnacentral:rRNA from 1 species